rnacentral:rRNA from 1 species
UAGGGAAUCUUCCACAAUGGGCGAAAGCCUGAUGGAGCAACGCCGCGUGUGUGAUGAAGGGUUCCGGCUCGUAAAACACUGUUGUAAGAGAAGAAUGACAUUGAGAGUAACUGUUCAAUGUGUGACGGCAUCUUACCAGAAAGGAACGGCUAAAUACGUGCCAG